rnacentral:rRNA from 1 species
CGAACGCUGGCGGCGUGCUUAACACAUGCAAGUCGAACGCGAAAGUUUUCUUCGGAAAGCGAGUAGAGUGGCGCACGGGUGAGUAACGCGUAAGUAAUCUACCCUGGUAUCUGGGAUAACCCACCGAAAGGUGUGCUAAUACCGGAUACGCUGAUUUAUCAGGAAAGGUGGCCUCUUCAUGAAAGCUACUGUACCAGGAGGAGCUUGCGUACCAUUAGCUAGUUGGUAGGGUAAUGGCCUACCAAGGCGACGAUGGUUAGCGGGUCUGAGAGGAUGAUCCGCCACACUGGAACUGGAACACGGACCAGACUCCUACGGGAGGCAGCAGUGAGGAAUAUUGCGCAAUGGGGGAAACCCUGACGCAGCGACGCCGCGUGGAUGAUGAAGGCCUUCGGGUCGUAAAAUCCUGUCAGAUGGAAAGAAAUGUAUAGAGGCUAAUACCCUUUAUAUUUGACGGUACCAUCAAAGGAAGCACCGGCUAACUCC